rnacentral:rRNA from 1 species
CUGGGCUAGAAUGCCUCUGACAACCCUAGAGAUAGGGCUUCCUAGGGAAACCUAGGCAGAGUGCAAGGUGCUGCAUGGCUGUCGUCAGCUCGUGUCGUGAGAUGUUGGGUUAAGUCCCGCAACGAGCGCAACCCUUACCGUGAGUUACCAUCAUUUAGUUGGGGACUCUCGCGGAACUGCCGGUGAUAAGCCGCGAGGAAGGUGGGGAUGACGUCAAGUCCUCAUGGCCCUUACGGGCUGGGCUACACACGUGCUACAAUGGCGGUGACAGUGGGAUGCAAUGGAGUAAUCCUGCGCAAAUCUCAAAAAGCCGUCUCAGUUCGGAUUGUGCUCUGCAACUCGAGCACAUGAAGUUGGAAUCGCUAGUAAUCGCAGAUCAGCACGCUGCGGUGAAUACGUUCCC